rnacentral:rRNA from 1 species
AUGUCAAGGGACAGCGUGCUGAUCGGCGCCUCCAUGUUCGUGCUCGUCGUGCUCUCCCUCGUCACCUUCUUCUGCUCCAACCGACGGCGAUUGGCGCAGAGCUCGUCGUCGCGGGGCGUAGAAGACAAUCAAGACAUCGAGCUCGGGCACGGCAGGAGUGCCGCUGCGGGACUCGACGAGGCCGUCCUGGCCGCCUACCCGACGACGGUGUACUCGUCGUCCAUCCAGCAUCAGUUGGCGGCUACCAGUGAGCGGACAGUGAAAGAGGGGGAACGCGGGUGUGCGGUGUGCCUGGCGGAGUACGCCGACGGCGACGAGCUGCGGGUUAUGCCCGGCUGCGCGCACACGUUCCACCGGCGGUGCGUCGACCAGUGGCUCCGGCGGCGGCCCAGCUGCCCACUCUGCCGCGCGUCGUCGCAGAGCAGAGCACCACCGGCGCAUGCUAACCGUCACAGCGUCAACAGCAUGCCGAUGUAG